UUGAAUGCUGGCGGCAGGCCUAACACAUGCAAGUCGAGCGGAUGACGGGAGCUUGCUCCUUGAUUCAGCGGCGGACGGGUGAGUAAUGCCUAGGAAUCUGCCUGGUAGUGGGGGACAACGUUUCGAAAGGAACGCUAAUACCGCAUACGUCCUACGGGAGAAAGCAGGGGACCUUCGGGCCUUGCGCUAUCAGAUGAGCCUAGGUCGGAUUAGCUAGUUGGUGGGGUAAUGGCUCACCAAGGCGACGAUCCGUAACUGGUCUGAGAGGAUGAUCAGUCACACUGGAACUGAGACACGGUCCAGACUCCUACGGGAGGCAGCAGUGGGGAAUAUUGGACAAUGGGCGAAAGCCUGAUCCAGCCAUGCCGCGUGUGUGAAGAAGGUCUUCGGAUUGUAAAGCACUUUAAGUUGGGAGGAAGGGCAGUAAGUUAAUACCUUGCUGUUUUGACGUUACCGACAGAAUAAGCACCGGCUAACUCUGUGCCAGCCGCCGCAGUAA
rnacentral:rRNA from 1 species